UGGGGAAUUUUGGACAAUGGGGGAAACCCUGAUCCAGCCAUCCCGCGUGUGCGAUGAAGGCCUUCGGGUUGUAAAGCACUUUUGGCAGGAAAGAAACGUCAUGGGUUAAUACCCCGUGAAACUGACGGUACCUGCAGAAUAAGCACCGGCUAACUACGUGCCAGCAGCCGCGGUAAUACGUAGGGUGCAAGCGUUAAUCGGAAUUACUGGGCGUAAAGCGUGCGCAGGCGGUUCGGAAAGAAAGAUGUGAAAUCCCAGAGCUCAACUUUGGAACUGCAUUUUUAACUACCGGGCUAGAGUGUGUCAGAGGGAGGUGGAAUUCCGCGUGUAGCAGUGAAAUGCGUAGAUAUGCGGAGGAACACCGAUGGCGAAGGCAGCCUCCUGGGAUAACACUGACGCUCAUGAACGAAAGCGUGGGGAACAAACAG
rnacentral:rRNA from 1 species